rnacentral:pre_miRNA from 1 species
GAGGCCCUAAUCAGGGCACUGCAAUUCUAAAUGUCUGUUGGCAAGUGGCGAUGCCAGACGUUUGAAAUUUACUUAUCAUUUAUUAGUCAGAAUUGCAGUGCCUUGAUUUGGGCUUU